ACCUGCGGAGGAUCAUUAUUGAACGAAACCUCUGGCUGGAUGCUGUUGNGCUNGGCCCUUUGGGGCAAAUGUGCACGCUCUCUGGUCGUUUGUUUCUUCUGUUCCACCUGUGCACUGCCUGUAGACACGCUCUGUGUCUAUGAUAUGUUAACACACACACACAUAUGGAUGGUAUUAUGCAUAAAAAUAAAAUAAAAUACAACUUUCAACAAUGGAUCUCUUGGCUCUCGCAUCGAUGAAGAACACAGCGAAAUGUGAUAAGUAAUGUGAAUUGCAGAAUCCAGUGAAUCAUCGAAUCUUUGAACGCAUCUUGCGCUCCUUGGCAUUCCGAGGAGCAUGCCUGUUUGAGUGUCGUUAAACUUAUCAAAACACUUUUCUUGGGUGUUUUGGACUUUGGGAGUGUUUUUGCCGGUCUGUUUGAGUCGGCUCUCCUCAAAAGCAUUGGCUUUGGAGACCAUCGGCGUGAUAAUUUUGUUUACGCUGGCUCGAGUGUCUCUGCUUCUCCUUUGACCUCAAAUCAGGUAGGACUACCCGCUGAACUUAAGCAUAUCAAUAAGCGGAGGAAAAGAAACAAACAAGGAUUCCCCUAGUAACUGCGAGUGAAGCGGGAAAAGCUCAAAUUUGAAAUCUGGCAGUCUUUUUUUUCUUCUUUGGCUGUCCGAGU
rnacentral:rRNA from 1 species